rnacentral:rRNA from 1 species
UCGAACGAUGAACCACCUUCGGGUGGGGAUUAGUGGCGAACGGGUGAGUAACACGUGGGCAAUCUGCCCUGCACUCUGGGACAAGCCCUGGAAACGGGGUCUAAUACCGGAUACUGACCUGCCAAGGCAUCUUGGCGGGUCGAAAGCUCCGGCGGUGCAGGAUGAGCCCGCGGCCUAUCAGCUUGUUGGUGAGGUAAUGGCUCACCAAGGCGACGACGGGUAGCCGGCCUGAGAGGGCGACCGGCCACACUGGGACUGAGACACGGCCCAGACUCCUACGGGAGGCAGCAGUGGGGAAUAUUGCACAAUGGGCGAAAGCCUGAUGCAGCGACGCCGCGUGAGGGAUGACGGCCUUCGGGUUGUAAACCUCUUUCAGCAGGGAAGAAGCGAAAGUGACGGUACCUGCAGAAGAAGCGCCGGCUAACUACGUGCCAGCAGCCGCGGUAAUACGUAGGGCGCAAGCGUUGUCCGGAAUUAUUGGGCGUAAAGAGCUCGUAGGCGGCUUGUCGCGUCGGUUGUGAAAGCCCGGGGCUUAACCCCGGGUCUGCAGUCGAUACGGGCAGGCUAGAGUUCGGUAGGGGAGAUCGGAAUUCCUGGUGUAGCGGUGAAAUGCGCAGAUAUCAGGAGGAACACCGGUGGCGAAGGCGGAUCUCUGGGCCGAUACUGACGCUGAGGAGCGAAAGCGUGGGGAGCGAA